AUCUUUUUUGUGUUAGCCGAAUUUUACCGUCCAACUUUUCAAUUUAUUUGAUUUGAGUCAACUAACGAUAUUUUGACCUUAAAAUUUAAAUACUUUAUUUAUCUUUACAGAUUAAGUUAUAUAUCACAUAUAAUUCUCACAAUUAUAAAUUUAUUAAAGUAAAUAAUUAACUUAAAUUUUAAAAUUGAAGUAUUAUUGAUUAACUGAAAUCGAACAAAUUAAAAGAUUAGAUAGUAAAAAAAAUUUAAAAAAAAAAAUUAAAUGGUCGAUUUAAACUAAUUUAUAGUUUAGAUAAGCUCUCUACAUUGUUACCUAUUUAUUUUUUAGGGGCAAUUGUUUAUAUAUUCUUGAAAAAUUUUCGAUUAUCUAAUUUACCCAUCUUAGAAUGCUAAUAUUAAAAAUACAUUUUUUACGCUCUAAGUAAUUUCAAAUUAUAUCUAUAGAGUUAAAUUCUAGCAAAAGCCAUUAUCUCUGUAAAAUUACUAUUUUUUCCUUUCAAAUAUACCCUUCUAUAAUUACCACCUUUUUUAUUUGCCCUUAAAUUAGGAGUAAAAGAAAUAUUUUGAUUUUUGGUCUUUUCAACUAUACCUCUCUAUUAUUACCAAUUUUUCUUAUUUGUGCUUAAGUUAAGGGCCAAAGAGAUAUUUUAUUUUUUUUAAACUCUGAUAGGAAUUUAACUCAAGUUUAACCCGAAAUAAGUUAACGGAUAGUAACUACGGGAGUAUUUUUGAAUAACAGAUGAACAUAUAAGAGAUAUAUUAGAAAUAAAAAAAUAAAAAUAAAUUAAAUAUUUUUAAAAUUUUGAGAGAGAUUUAUAUAUAGAUAAUUAUUUUUAUUUUUUUAUGUCUUAAUGUUCACAUAGCUAUG
rnacentral:lncRNA from 1 species